UCAACCCUAAAAGAAUCUCCGUUCGAGCACCCAGUCGAAAUCUUCGCGCGAAUCCAAUUGAUGAUUGGGUCGGAAUUCUCCCUCUGUUGGAAUAGGUUAACACGAAGGCUCCCCAAAUUAGAUUUCAAGUUUAGAUUUCUAGGGAUUCAAAAGCCCUAAAUCACACAGACGAGAAGGAGUUCGAGGAGAGAGAAAAUAGAUCUGGGAUUCCUUCUCCUCCGUCGCUAACUUCCGACCACCAUACGGAUGCAGAGCUGUCACCAUCUUGUUCGCCAGCCUCCUUUGCGUCAGCCUCAGUUCCCCCGUUGACUAGGGACACAAGAAGUAAUGCCACGCGCUUUCAGCUAUGCAUCUUCCAUAUGCUUACGGUUUCGCAAAGCAACAGGAAAGAAUACAACUUGAGACAUCAAGGCUGUAUCGGCAGGCUGGGGUUAAUCCAAUAGCAGCUUGUUUACCAACUCUGGCCACAAUACCAGUCUGGAUAGGUCUAUACCAAACUCUUUCAAAUGUGGCAAAUGAGGUAACUAACAGGUCUCAUAUCAAAUUAUCUACUCAAUAUUGGUGAUAUACUGAUGCUUGCUUGCCUUUGAAUUUUAUGAGUGAAGCCACAUAAUAAAUUCUUCAAAAAUGCUCUGAAGCUUUUGCUUUUCUUUCUAGUUACCUACUAGUUCUUGUCUAUGUAUGCGACUCUUGUUAUCAGUAAUAGUACUGGUAAAACAUGCUGCCAGAUUAAGGAAGCAAAGUUCUUGAAAGGGUUGAACAUGUUAACCCCAUUGAGGCAUGAAAAUUUAGUGAAAUUGAGGGGAUUUUGUUGCUCAAGUUGUUGUGGAGAGUGCUUUCUCAUUUAUGAAUUUAUUCCAAAUGGAAGUUUGCUGCGAUAUCAUGGCGUCAAGAAGAGCGACAACAAUGUUCUUGAAUGGUCAAUAACUAGAGUUUCUAUUGUGAAGGGCAAUGCCUAAAGAUAGCAUUGGAGGGCAGUUACAAGGAAGAAUUUGUUCAAGGAAUUUGACAACCAUCAAUGAAGACUUCAUAAGAGGCAUGUUUUGGAACAACAUGUGUAUCAGCUUGGCCCCAAUUGAUGCCUCUGAAGAGAGCCUCCUCAUGGCUCAUCGAUUACUCAGUACGUCUCUUUCUCGAAAGAGAUUAAUUUGAUG